GUAGCGAGAAUGAGGCGGGGCUAGGCUAACAGGAGGCCAGGAUGAGCUAUGGAAUAGCAGAAUUACGGAGCGCUGAUCAGGACAAGUUUGGUCACGUGAUUCUCAUAGGAGUAUGCCGAUGCGAACCGUAAGGUGGAGGUUCAAGAAGGGAAAGUUUGAUUGGACUAAUUCAAGGGGAGAGGUUUGAAGAUUUAGGAAAUUGGGGCAGGUGGGGAAGGUAGAAAUUGCUAAAAUAUGAGUCUAGAUUGAUGAGUGCCCUAAAUGUCUCCGAAAGUCCCGUAGGGGAAUUUCCAGAAGCAGCUUCGGGUGUUCUACCUAAAAAUAAAAUGAAGAAAAAAUUGAAGUACCUUGUGUUCUAGCAAGCGAAUUUUAAAAAUUACAACGAACUCACUCGUUAAAAAAAUAAGGUUAGUUUUGUUUCCCGAAUGCGAACCAAAGUCAACUUUUUAAGACGGAUAUCAGCUGCUCCACGCUACACACUUCCUGUUCGGUUGCUGAAAUUGUGCAUCUGAAACACUGUUAAGAUUUGUCAGCAUAAUUUGAUUGGAUGAAGUUACCGGUUGGCUUUGGUUGGUCCAAAGCCAAAAGAACAAAGGUACAAAACUAGUCUUGAUUCUUGCUUGACAUGGGGCGCCACACCGGAUAACCAAGCCCAGAAAAUGAGCUGCUACACAACCUCAAAUACUUGAGGAUUUUCCCCACCUGAUACGACCAAGUACCACACAAAUUAUAAUAUAUAUAUCCCUGUGGAUACAAUGAGGACUAAGAAGAGACCUGAUUAUAUAAUCUACUUCUACCAAGACCAAUGCAUAUGAUAAAACGAGAAUAUUUGCUUGGGGCUGGUGGCAUAGCUUCAUGGUAGAGUGCUUACCUAGUGUGCUGAAGGUCCUGCACUUCAAUCCCCAACAUUGCAAAAGGAAAAAAAUGAUUAAAAGAAUGAUUGCCUGGGUGAGACCAGUGUAUUGCCAAAUCCACACCCAUGAUAAUGCAAAGAAAAGAAGGUGAAGCUGGGGAGCAAAGACCUACUGUAGAGUCUUAGAGCCACAGCACAGGCAACAUGGAAGAACGGGGCAAGUCAUUGGAAACCCUCUGUGAGCAGAGGCCUCAUUUUAAAAAUGAGUAGAGGUUACAUUUCAGAAUUUCAAACUUUCUGAUUUCCAGACAUUUACCAUUGUUUCCAAAUGUUUCAGAAUCCAUGUACAAAAUUGGUUGCCUUCAUAAUUCAGAAAUAUAAUGUCAUAUUGAUAAA